rnacentral:rRNA from 1 species
UACAGAGGUCUCAAGCGUUUGUUCGGAUUCAUUGGGCGUAAAGGGUGCGUAGGCGGCGCGGUAAGUCGGGUGUGAAAUCUUGGAGCUUAACUCCGAAACUGCAUUCGAUACUGCCUGUGCUUGAGGACUGGAGAGGAGACUGGAAUUUACGGUGUAGCGGUGAAAUGCGUAGAUAUCGUAAGGAAGACCAGUGGCGAAGGCGGGUCUCUGGACAGUUCCUGACGCUGGAGGCACGAAGGCCAGGGGAGCAAACGGG